rnacentral:rRNA from 1 species
AUGCAGAAUUCAGUGGAAUCAUCGAAUCUUUGAACGCAUCUUGCGCUCCUUGGUAUUCCGAGGAGCAUGCCUGUUUGAGUGUCAUU